AAAUAUCUCCCUCACCCCUUGCCUCCCAUCUGUUCCUCUCCCCUUCCUCUCCCUCGUUCCCUCUGGAAGCGACCUCGGCGGCCGGCCCUCUCCUUCCCCCACCUCCCGCGCGGGGCGACCCCUGCGGCACGGCGUGGUGCGGCCGAUGCACGCGGCCUAGCGCGGUUGGCCACCACUGGCGACUGUAGCUGCCCCUUCAGUGCGCGAGUUCUUGCGGACAAACGGCGCGGCUCUGCUCUUCCUCGAUCCAUCCGCCUGCUAGUUUACUCCUCUCCCUCUCUCCUGAUGUGGCAUAUGCAUGGAUGCAGGUUUGAUUUCGCCCUAGAUAUGGUGUUCUCCUUUUUCCCUGUCUAUCUACAUGUUUGUUGUGAAUAUUCUUGUUCUUUAGGUCCUGGUCUGCUCUAUUUCGAUGGAUCUGGCAGCAGACAACUAUUAUGCCAGAGAUCUGAGCACAUGAGCAUGGGAGUGAUAUUUAUUUGACACCAUGUGCUCUGCAGUGCUACCUUUUUUAGGUUUAUUAUUUGCAUUUCAAUCAUGUGCAGUGAUGAGUACGAUUUCCUAUUUUGGUUACGUUUAAAAUUGAGGGAAUGGGCUAUUGCUAUGAUGAUUGCACCAUAAAUUAUAGUAUGCUCCAUAAAAUGAUCAUGGUCUGCCUUUCACAGAUUGCGUUGCUUUCUUUUUUAGAUGCCUGAGGCACAUGAGUUUGGUGUACCUUUUUAAGAUGCUUUUCCACAUAUUCUUCCUCUUACAUUUUAUUACUAUGUUGAGUUGUUGACAACUUGGGCAAACCAUCUGGGUCUCGCCGAUGCUGGCCAUAUUCAUGGUAGCAAAGUUAAUUUUCACUAUCCAUUUCCUGACUUGCGGUCCAACUUUACCCCACCGUUCCUUUACUGUCGCGGACUGAGUGUCGUCGGCCAAUUGGUUGGAGGGGGAAAUACCUCCCUCACCUGCAUCUCUUUCUGCCUGUCCCAUGAUACUUGAGGCAAUGGUCAAUUUGGUUGCUUCUGUUUCUUGUGUGUCUUUCAUGCAUGUUCUAUUUUGUGUACUUUGGACGCACCGAUGAGAACUACUUAUGAUUGUGUGUUUAGUUUGUUACUAUGCGUCUGGAAUUUAUUCUUACUUUAUGCCAUUGCCAAAGAUGAUUUCUUUCUUUGCCUGUUCAUUAUAUGUGAACAUUGCCUUUAAUGCCAAAUUAUAUACUGUCAUUCCUGAGCAGAUGCCCUAUUCCUAAGGAUUACAUUGCCAUGCACUUUGGUUGUGUGCAGUCACUUUUGCCUCUCCUAUUUGUUUGAGUUCUUGUGCUCUACUUGCUUUUAUUUUGGCCUAGAUAAAUUUCCUUUGACAUUUUGGGCGGCAUCAGCGACGCUUGCCUGCUGCUUCAUAAGAAAAAAGAUUGUUCAUCUUUUUUCAUCCAGUCUUACGGUUCCACUAAUAACUGCAAUGUUUUCUUCAGACCAGUAGGUUGUAUAUUUGUUUGCUAUGUAAUUUGGAGCAACCUAUUGUCAUAUCUUCGUUUUGUAUGCAUGAGAUCAAUCUUGGGUGGUAUGUGGAUAACUUAAAGUCACUAAUCUUUGGCACAUUGGUUCAAGCAAAAAUCAUGAAGAAAUGGGUGUGUUCAUAAUUUCAGUAGCAGGUACAAUCUUCAGUUCCUAUCUUCAUCCACGAGAUGCCUCAAAUUUCUUUUCUGCAUAUUGCACGUUCUCCCUAUCUUUUAGGUAAACAGAGGCCAAGAUCAAUUUAUGGUUAUACCUAAUUGCUGCUCACGAGGCCUUCAAUGGGUUAGGUAGUUUUUCUUAUCCAGAUGCUACAUAAUUCAGUGCAUGUUAGUUCUUCUGAGGCUGUCAUGGCCUUUGAUGGAUUAGAUUUUUGUUUGUUCUUAUCCUCUUGCUGCAUAGCUCAAUGUGUGUUUUUGUUUUUUUGAAGUGGCCAUAUUAUACUACUGAGAUCUCAAUAGUCUUCCACUAUUAGAUUUGCUGCCUAAUUCAGUGCAUGUUAGUUCUUCUGUACAUUGUUAAUGUUUAUUAGCAAUGGAAUUUUUCUAUCUUGGUCAACAGUAUGCAACAUGUUGCUACAACAGUAGAGUGGUUCCGCUGUUUGUACCAGCCCAAUGAGGCCAGUUUAAAAUUUUCAUGCCUUAGUCAUUUAUGAUAUGCCAUUUUUCUUGGGUUUUUCUACUAUUACCAUGAAUUAUAUGACCUUGCCAAUGUUUUGGCUUUAAAUAGCACAACAUUUCCCAUCUCUAUUUGGAUUAAUACCUGCAAACCUCAAUUUGGUUAUUGCUAAUAUUUAAUGGCACAUAUGUGCAAUUAAGGUGCCUUUUAUGUCAUUAAUAGUGUUCGGGUCUUUGAUCUUGUGCUUGAUGCUUUUUGAAGUUUCAUACUCCUCUGAUUUUUGUAAUCUUGUGGGUUUAAUUUUCACCCUGGAUAUUACUUUUCAGCCUCAAUAUGUACAAAGCAAAUGCAACCUCCUACUUUGGUAGUCUCUUCUCCUGUACCAGAAUUUUGUUUUUGCUUCUCUUAUCACAGUUACAAUCCGGAGAUUGGACCGCAUGGAUCGAUGGGUGUGCUCUCCUAGUUUGGCUUCCUCCAGUGUGAAGGUUCGUCCUCCGUGUCUUGACUCUGUCUUCAUGUCUUGCAGGAAUGGUCAGGUAUAAUUAGCGUCAGGGUGCUUCAUGUGCUCCUUCAGUAAAGUGAUUUAUCCUUGAAAUUGAACUAUAUCAGUGCAUCCUUCUUCUUUUUUCCCAUAUGCGAUUUGCUGAUUUCCAGGCUCCUCUUGUGUGACCACUACUGGACCAAGACACUUUAGAAGAAUAAACCCUAGGAGGAGAUAAGCACUACUAUGAGUUCCUCAGAGAUAGUAUAUGCAGUUAUCGCGAAGUUGAAAGAAGGCUAAAGAUGCAAAAAUAAAAUCAUGACACAUCCCUGACGAACCAAUCAAACAUUAAUGUUCUCAUAUCUUACCAUUUGUCAAGAGUAGAUAUUUUGUUUUCCCAUUCAGCUACCUCUCUAGGUCGUAUAAUAGUUUAGCACAAUAGUGGAUGACGACUGUAUUGUUUCCAUUGUAAUUCAUUUAGUUCUUCGUUGAUUCAUGCCUGCAUGAGGAAGCUUUAACCCUAAGUUUAUGUGUUCCAUGAGCCAAUUUUUGUAGUUCUCAUGUAAAAAAAACUUGCACGGCAUGUUCUAGCUGUGUAUGCCCUGUAAAGAGAACAUUUUCUUGCUAACAUAAAAGCAUGUGCUUAUAAAGUGCCAAUUGCUUGCCGA